rnacentral:rRNA from 1 species
UACGUAGGGUGCAAGCGUUGUCCGGAAUUAUUGGCGUAAAGAGCGUGUAGGCGGCCCGAUUAGUCCGCUGUGAAAGUCCAGGGCUCAACCCUGGAAUGCCGGUGGAUACUGUCGGGCUAGAGUCCGGAAGGGGCGAGUGGAAUUCCUGGUGUAGCGGUGAAAUGCGCAGAUAUCAGGAGGAACACCAAUGGCGAAGGCAGCUCGCUGGGACGUGACUGACGCUGAGACGCGAAAGCGUGGGGAGCGAACAGG